rnacentral:lncRNA from 1 species
UAUAAAUUAUAAUAGCAUAUUGUUUUUUAAUUAACUAAUAUAUAGUCCUACAUUCAUUUAUUUACUUUUCUUAAGAAUAAUGAAAUAUAAAAAAGGUUUAAAGUUGAGAAUAGUUUUGAUUUUUACUAGUGUGAUUCUAUCGCCAAGUUUCUUGAAUGUGAUCAAUCAUUUCUCGAUACAAAUGUUGCAAAAAGUCAUAUAUUAUUUAUAAUGGUUGAAUGUUUAGUUUUCUUUUUAAGGAAAUAGAAGUUAUUAAAUGUUGGUGGCUCAUCAUGCAGUGCAUAUGAGAAAGGCAUGCUUUCAAAGGUUAAGACUGCUCCCCUGAUUUCUACAGCAAAAAAACAACUUUAAAAUGCUGUUGAUAAUAUUUUAAAGAGUGCACCUGAUCGAAAAGAAGGUGAAUGACGUCAACUGUUCGAACAUUCGAUUCUUGGAAAUUAACAAGUGGA